rnacentral:rRNA from 1 species
UCCUACGGGAGGCAGCAGUGGGGAAUAUUGCACAAUGGGCGCAAGCCUGAUGCAGCGACGCCGCGUGAGGGAUGACGGCCUUCGGGUUGUAAACCUCUUUCAGUAGGGAAGAAGCGAAAGUGACGGUACCUGCAGAAGAAGCGCCGGCUAACUACGUGCCAGCAGCCGCGGUAAUACGUAGGGCGCAAGCGUUAUCCGGAAUUAUUGGGCGUAAAGAGCUCGUAGGCGGUUUGUCGCGUCUGCCGUGAAAGUCCGGGGCUCAACUCCGGAUCUGCGGUGGGUACGGGCAGACUAGAGUGAUGUAGGGGAGACUGGAAUUCCUGGUGUAGCGGUGAAAUGCGCAGAUAUCAGGAGGAACACCGAUGGCGAAGGCAGGUCUCUGGGCAUUAACUGACGCUGAGGAGCGAAAGCAUGGGGAGCGAACAGGAUUAGAUACCCUGGUAGUCCAUGCCGUAAACGUUGGGCACUAGGUGUGGGGGACAUUCCACGUUUUCCGCGCCGUAGCUAACGCAUUAAGUGCCCCGCCUGGGGAGUACGGCCGCAAGGCUAAAACUCAAAGGAAUUGACGGCGGGCGGGGGCGG